rnacentral:rRNA from 1 species
UGGCGAACGGGUGAGUAACGCGUGAGGAACCUGCCUCAAAGAGGGGGACAACAGUUGGAAACGACUGCUAAUACCACAUAAGCCCACGACCCGGCAUCGGGUAGAGGGAAAAGGAGCAAUCCGCUUUGAGAUGGCCUCGCGUCCGAUUAGCUAGUUGGUGAGGUAAUGGCCCACCAAGGCGACGAUCGGUAGCCGGACUGAGAGGUUGAACGGCCACAUUGGGACUGAGACACGGCCCAG